AUUGAACGCUGGCGGCAGGCCUAACACAUGCAAGUCGGACGAGUGGCGGACGGGUGAGUAAUGCAUGGGAAUCUGGCUUAUGGAGGGGGAUAACUACUGGAAACGGUCGCUAAUACCGCCUACCAUAGGAUGAGCCCAUAUGGGAUUAGGUUGUAGGUAGGGUAAUGGCUUACCUAGGCGACGAUCCCUAGCUGGUCUGAGAGGAUGACCAGCCACACCGGGACUGAGACACGGCCCGGACUCCUACGGGAGGCAGCAGUGGGGAAUAUUGCACAAUGGGGGCAACCCUGACGCAGCCAUGCCGCGUGAAUGAAGAAGGCCUUCGGGUUGUAAAGUUCUUUCGGUGACGAGGCGUUAAUCACAGAAGAAGCACCGGCUAACUCCGUGCCAGCAGCCGCGGUAAUAC
rnacentral:rRNA from 1 species